rnacentral:rRNA from 1 species
UGGGGAAUAUUGGACAAUGGGCGAAAGCCUGAUCCAGACAAUGCCGCGUGAGUGAUGAAGGCCUUAGGGUUGUAAAGCUCUUUUACCCGGGAUGAUAAUGACAGUACCGGGAGAAUAAGCUCCGGCUAACUCCGUGCCAGCAGCCGCGGUAAUACGGAGGGAGCUAGCGUUGUUCGGAAUUACUGGGCGUAAAGCGCACGUAGGCGGCUUUGUAAGUUAGAGGUGAAAGCCCGGGGCUCAACCCCGGAACUGCUUUUAAAACUGUCAUCGCUUGAAUCCAGGAGAGGUGAGUGGAAUUCCGAGUGUAGAGGUGAAAUUCGUAGAUAUUCGGAAGAACACCAGUGGCGAAGGCGGCUCACUGGACUGGUAUUGACGCUGAGGUGCGAAAGCGUGGGGAGCGAAACAGGAUUAGGAUACCCUGGUAGUCCACGCCGUAAACGAUGAUAACUAGCUGUCGGGGCUCUUAGAGUUUCGGUGGCGCAGCUAACGCAUU